GACGAACGCUGGCGGCGUGCCUAAUACAUGCAAGUAGAACGCUGAAGAGAGGAGCUUGCUCUUCUUGGAUGAGUUGCGAACGGGUGAGUAACGCGUAGGUAACCUGCCUUGUAGCGGGGGAUAACUAUUGGAAACGAUAGCUAAUACCGCAUAACAAUGGAUGCCACAUGUCAUUUAUUUGAAAGGGGCAAUUGCUCCACUACAAGAUGGACCUGCGUUGUAUUAGCUAGUAGGUGAGGUAAUGGCUCACCUAGGCGACGAUACAUAGCCGACCUGAGAGGGUGAUCGGCCACACUGGGACUGAGACACGGCCCAGACUCCUACGGGAGGCAGCAGUAGGGAAUCUUCGGCAAUGGGGGCAACCCUGACCGAGCAACGCCGCGUGAGUGAAGAAGGGUUUCGGAUCGUAAAGCUCUGUUGUAAGUCAAGAACGGGUGUGAGAGUGGAAAGUUCACACUGUGACGGUAGCUUACCAGAAAGGGACGGCUAACUACGUG
rnacentral:rRNA from 1 species